UCGUGCCAGGAUCUCCAGGGCCUUUUAACAAGGAGAGGGAAGACCGAGCCCUCCACGAGCAAAGAACCACAGGACUGCAAGAAAAGUUCCACUCUUCCAAGUAUUGCAUCAUAAAGAUUCUCCUCAAACAUCCUGCUGCCCAGUCCAAAUAACACCAGCACGUUCAUCCCCCCGAAAGGGAGGAAGGUAAAGAACUGGAAGAUCCACACAAAGUUUUCCUACAAGCAACUGCCAGCUGUAAAUCCCUACUGAUAGCAGCAGCAAAAAGAGCUCAAAAACCCAAAUGAAAGGAAACUGCUG